ACCACAUCGCACUAUCGUUAUCGUAUUAUCUGUGUUAAUAUUACGGUCUUCUGGCUUGUAUCGACGUAAUCAACGUACCACAACUGAUGUCCUUGUAUGCAAUAAUGUUAAAUAUUAAAUAGCUUUAAUACUUUCAUAGUACAUUUUGCAUAUUGGGCUGUGGGUACCACGCUAUGUGUCACCUACCGAGCACUCAGUACCCACAUAGCACAUAAUUCACUAUGGCAGUCGCCAUACUUGGACAUAGGGAUCGGCGCCACUGCUAAUAAUAUUAGUACAUUGUAUAAUACAAUCGAUCGGUGUUUUAUAUUUGUCGUACGAUAAUAUUACAAUAAGUCAGUGAUUUCCUGACAUGAACGUUGCCUCUUUUCUUGUAUGCGUUUUUAAUUUUUAAAGAAAGCUAAAGAGGACUAUUCAUUGGUCUCUUACAUUAGUAUUAUAAGAUUUGUUCUGACUCAAAUAAGAAACUAUGUACAAUACUCUCAAAAUUUCAUAGAAAUGGAGGUAUAAAAUAACGGCUUUUGUGCAAACUAUAACAAUUAUUCUUACAAAAUCAACACGUUGAUUAGAAAUUUGUGAAAGGGAAUAUUUAAGACUAAUGAAGAGAUCUAUUGAGCCAGUAAUUAUUUCAUUAGUAGGACAUCAUCAACUUCAAUGGAGUUAUCGGUCAAAACAACGGAGUAUUUCUCUAAGCUUUGGUGUGAAAUAGAAAUCUUUGCUGAAGAUAAUGAAAUAUCAAUACAAACGCCAUCUAAAGGAUGUAAAAGAAAAAUACAAUAGCCACACAAUCUUCAACAUUUUGAUACUAUUGCAACCACAAGUGCUGAACAAAAUAUUAAUGACACCAUUGAAACUAUUGAAGAUUAUUUUAGAAAAAAUGUUUCCUUUCCUGUAUUUAAUGCUAUCUUGAUAAAUCUGGAGAAAAUAUUUUCUAUUGAAAGCCUCCAAAUGGCUACAGCUGUUGAUCAAUUUUUUCAAUUAAACUUGGAGGAAAGUCUUUUCUUUGUAGAUCAUUAUAAAGAUUUGAUGAAUGUAUCUAAAGAUGUAUUACAAUCAGAAAUAGAAGUGAAAAAUAAUUGUAUAUUGUAAUCUACCGAUGAAAAUUAUAAAACUUUAAAUGAUGUGAAAAAGGUUUUAACAAAACAGACUUUCCCUAAUUUAUAAAAACUAUUUCAAGUUACUUUAACAAUUCCUAUAAGUUCCUCCACUCGUGAAAGGAGUUUUUCGGCCAUGCGUAGAAUAAAAACUUGGCUUAGAACUUCUAUGCUGUAGGAAAGGUUCAACAACACCUCAAUAUUAUAUAUUGAAAAAUAAAUUUCUAAAUCUAUUAAUACUGAAACAAUUGU
rnacentral:lncRNA from 1 species